AAUAGAUACCCCGGUAGUCCACGCCGUAAACGAUGAGUGCUAAGUGUUAGAGGGUUUCCGCCCUUUAGUGCUGCAGCUAACGCAUUAAGCACUCCGCCUGGGGAGUACGACCGCAAGGUUGAAACUCAAAGGAAUUGACGGGGGCCCGCACAAGCGGUGGAGCAUGUGGUUUAAUUCGAAGCAACGCGAAGAACCUUACCAGGUCUUGACAUCCCCUUGACCUCCCUAAGAGAUAGGGAUUUCCCUUCGGGGACAAGGGUGACAGGUGGUGCAUGGUUGUCGUCAGCUCGUGUCGUGAGAUGUUGGGUUAAGUCCCGCAACGAGCGCAACCCUUGAGAUUAGUUGCCAGCAUUUAGUUGGGCACUCUAAUCUGACUGCCGGUGACAAACCGGAGGAAGGUGGGGAUGACGUCAAAUCAUCAUGCCCCUUAUGACCUGGGCUACACACGUGCUACAAUGGAUGGUACAAAGGGCAGCGAAGCCGCGAGGCUUAGCCAAUCCCAUAAAACCAUUCUCAAGUUCGGAUUGCAGGCUGCAAC
rnacentral:rRNA from 1 species